UACGUAGGGGGCAAGCGUUGUCCGGAUUUACUGGGCGUAAAGGGCGCGUAGGCGGUCAGCACAAGUCAGUUGUGAAAUCUCCGGGCUUAACUCGGAAAGGUCAACUGAUACUGUGCGACUAGAGUGCGGAAGGGGCAACUGGAAUUCUCGGUGUAGCGGUGAAAUGCGUAGAUAUCGAGAGGAACACCUGCGGCGAAGGCGGGUUGCUGGGCCGACACUGACGCUGAUGCGCGAAAGCCAGGGGAGCGAACGGG
rnacentral:rRNA from 1 species